rnacentral:rRNA from 1 species
GACGAACGCUGGCGGCGUGCCUAAUACAUGCAAGUAGGACGCAGUUGCGAACGGGUGAGUAACGCGUAGGUAACUACCUAUUAGAGGGGGAUAACUAUUGGAAACGAUAGCUAAUACCGCAUACUAGUAGAUGGACCUGCGUUGUAUUAGCUAGUAUGUAGGGUAAUGGCCUACCUAGGCAACGAUACAUAGCCGAACUGAGAGGGUGAUUCGCCAAACCUGGGACGAGAAACGGGCCCGACGCCGACGGGAGGGAGCAGUAGGGAAUCUUCGGCAAUGGGGGGAAACCUGACCGAGGAACGCCGCGUGAGUGAAGAAGGGUUUCGGAGCGUAAAGCUCUGUUGUUAAGGAAGCGGUACUUAACCAGAAAGGGACGGCUAACUACGUGCCAGCCGCCGCGGUAAUUC